AUCUGUAUUUAGCUCAAUUAAAUUGCUUCCAUAAUUAUUAAAGGGGAAUAUUCAUUUCUAAUGGCUCAGAGACACUCGGACUAGACCUGAAUAGGAUUUCAUCUCUGUGGGCAAAUCUUCUACAACUCUAAAUUUCCAAGAAGAACGUGAUUUGCAUCUGUUGGAAGAAUGAUUUCCAUCAUGGGAUAACUUGACCGUGGUCAUACAGUUCAUAUAUAUCAGAGAGUUCCAGUGAAGGGCACGGACUCUAGUUGGCAGCAGUCCUUCAGAGCUUCUGGGAGGAUGGGGCUCAGAAUCUCACCAAUCAAGAUCUCCUUCCACUGGCGCAGGGAUCUCGUUUACCAGGUGUGAUCGUCCCAUGACUCGGGUUCUAGCACAAGAAAAUAGUCUCAGUUAUUAAAGGAAGUGACUGGGUAAAACCUGACUAAGUACAUUAAGGUGAAGCAUGUUUCAGU
rnacentral:lncRNA from 1 species